GACGAACGCUGGCGGCGUGCUUAACACAUGCAAGUCGAACGGAAAGGCCCUGCUUGCCGGGUACUCGAGUGGCGAACGGGUGAGUAACACGUGGGUGAUCUGCCCUGCACUUCGGGAUAAGCCUGGGAAACUGGGUCUAAUACCGGAUAGGAGCCAUUUUUAGUGUGAUGGUUGGAAAGUUUUUUCGGUGUAGGAUGAGCUCGCGGCCUAUCAGCUUGUUGGUGGGGUAAUGGCCUACCAAGGCGGCGACGGGUAGCCGGCCUGAGAGGGUGGACGGCCACAUUGGGACUGAGAUACGGCCCAGACUCCUACGGGAGGCAGCAGUGGGGAAUAUUGUACAAUGGGCGCAAGCCUGAUGCAGCGACGCCGCGUGGGGGAUGACGGCCUUCGGGUUGUAAACGCCUUUCGCUAGGGACGAAGCUUUUUGUGACGGUACCUAGAUAAGAAGCACCGGCUAACUACGUG
rnacentral:rRNA from 1 species